UGGGGAAUAUUGCACAAUGGGCGAAAGCCUGAUGCAGCAACGCCGCGUGAGUGAUGAAGGUCUUCGGAUUGUAAAGCUCUGUCUUUUGGGACGAUAAUGACGGUACCAAAGGAGGAAGCCACGGCUAACUACGUGCCAGCAGCCGCGGUAAUACGUAGGUGGCGAGCGUUGUCCGGAUUUACUGGGCGUAAAGGGUGCGUAGGCGGAUGUUUAAGUGAGAUGUGAAAUACCCGGGCUUAACUUGGGUGCUGCAUUUCAAACUGGAUAUCUAGAGUGCAGGAGAGGAGAAUGGAAUUCCUAGUGUAGCGGUGAAAUGCGUAGAGAUUAGGAAGAACACCAGUGGCGAAGGCGAUUCUCUGGACUGUAACUGACGCUGAGGCACGAAAGCGUGGGUAGCAAACAGGAUUAGAUACCCUGGUAGUCCACGCCGUAAACGAUGAGUACUAGGUGUAGGAGGUAUCGACCCCUUCUGUGCCGCAGUAAAACACAUUAAAGUACUCCGCCUGGGAAGUACGAUCGC
rnacentral:rRNA from 1 species